AGACAAGCUACUAAGGGCACAUGGUGGAUGCCUUGGCACCAAGAGCCGAUGAAGGACGUAGGAACCUGCGAUAAGCCCCGGGAAGUUGGUAACCAAGCUGUGAUCCGGGGAUUUCCGAAUGGGGAAACCCAGCUGGAGUCAUGUCCAGUUACCUCUGUCUGAACACAUAGGACAGUUGGAGGGAACACCGGGAAGUGAAACAUCUCAGUACCGGUAGGAAGAGAAAACAAAAGUGAUUCCGAGAGUAGUGGCGAGCGAAAUCGGAAGAGGCCAAACUCGUGCAGUGUGAUAGCCGGCAGGCGUUGCUGUUCGAGGGUUGUGGGGCCGUCACGUCGGAUCUGCCGAUCCGACACAGAGUUAGAAACCAUCGUUGAAGUCGAAAUGGAUUGGAAAGUCCUGGCGUAGAGGGUGAUACCCCCGUACACGUAAGACGAUGGCUCUGAGACGUCACCCCAAGUAACACGGAACCCCUGAAAUUCCGUGUGAAUCUGGCGGGACCACCCGUUAAGCCUAAAUACUCCUUGGUGACCGAUAGCGGACAAGUACCGUGAGGGAAAGGUGAAAAGUACCCCUGGCGGGGAGUGAAAUAGUACCUGAAACCAUGUGCCUACAAACCGUUGGAGCGGGGAUUCGUCCCUGUGACAGCGUGCCUUUUGAAGAAUGAGCCUGCGAGUUUGCGUUGUGUUGCGAGGUUAACCCGUGUGGGGAAGCCGUAGCGAAAGCGAGUCCGAAUAGGGCGUUUGAGUAGCACGAUCAAGACCCGAAGCGAAGUGAUCUAUCCAUGGGCAGGUUGAAGCGCGGGUAAGACCGCGUGGAGGACCGAACCCACUUAGGUUGAAAACUGAGGGGAUGACCUGUGGAUAGGGGUGAAAGGCCAAUCAAACUUCGUGAUAGCUGGUUCUCCCCGAAAUGCAUUUAGGUGCAGCGUCGCGUGUUUCUUGCUGGAGGUAGAGCACUGGAUAGCCGAUGGGCCCUACAAGGUUACUGACGUUAACCAAACUCCGAAUGCCAGUAAGUGAGAGCGCGGCAGUGAGACUGCGGGGGAUAAGCUCCGUAGUCGAGAGGGAAACAGCCCAGACCAUCAGCUAAGGUCCCUAAGCGAUAACUAAGUGGAAAAGGAUGUGGAGUCGCACAGACAACCAGGAGGUUGGCUUGGAAGCAGCCACCCUUGAAAGAGUGCGUAAUAGCUCACUGGUCAAGUGAUUCCGCGCCGACAAUGUAGCGGGGCUCAAGUUAUCCACCGAAGCUAUGGCAUUCAUGCGUAAGACAGGCCUUUGUGGUCCAGUUGCAUGGAUGGGUAGGGGAGCGUCGUGUGGGCAGUGAAGCGGCGGAGUGAUCCAGCCGUGGAGGCCACACGAGUGAGAAUGCAGGCAUGAGUAGCGAAUGACUGGCGAGAAACCAGUCCGCCGAAUGAUCAAGGGUUCCAGGGUCAAGCUAAUCUGCCCUGGGUAAGUCGGGACCUAAGGCGAGGCCGACAGGCGUAGUCGAUGGACAACGGGUUGAUAUUCCCGUACCGGCAAAAUAGCGCCCAUGACGAACCUAGUGAUGCUAAGUGCCCAAAACCACCGGGAUCCUUCGGGACGAUGGUGGCAGAGCGCACGACCCGAACUAGUAGUAGUCAAGCGAUGGGGUGACGCAGGAAGGUAGUCCAACCGUGGCGAUGGUUGCCCACGGCUAAGGGUGUAGGGCGAACGGUAGGCAAAUCCGCCGUUCAUGUGCCUGAGACCUGAUGGGGAGUCCGUAUGGACGAAGUGGAUGAUCCUAUGCUGUCGAGAAAAACCUCUAGCGAGCUAUGCGCCGCCCGUACCCCAAACCGACUCAGGUGAUCAGGUAGAGAAUNAGGGGGGCCGGAUUCGUGAUGGGACUUGCUCCCGGAAGCGAUGAAGGCCGCAGAGACCAGGCCCAAGCGACUGUUUACUAAAAACACAGGUCCGUGCGAAGUCGUAAGACGAUGUAUACGGACUGACUCCUGCCCGGUGCUGGAAGGUUAAGGGGACCUGUUAGAACUUCGGUUCGAAGCGGAGAACUUAAGCCCCAGUAAACGGCGGUGGUAACUAUAACCAUCCUAAGGUAGCGAAAUUCCUUGUCGGGUAAGUUCCGACCUGCACGAAUGGAGUAACGACUUGGGCGCUGUCUCAACCGUGGACUCGGCGAAAUUGCAGUACGAGUAAAGAUGCUCGUUACGCGCGGCAGGACGGAAAGACCCCGGGACCUUUACUAUAGUUUGGUAUUGGUGUUUGGUUCGGCUUGUGUAGGAUAGGUGGGAGACUGUGAAACGGCGACGCCAGUUGUCGUGGAGUCAACGUUGAAAUACCACUCUGGUCGUACUAGAUAUCUAACCUAGGUCCAUUAUCUGGAUCAGGGACAGUGCCUGAUGGGUAGUUUAACUGGGGCGGUUGCCUCCUAAAAUGUAACGGAGGCGCUCAAAGGUUCCCUCAGCCUGGUUGGCAAUCAGGUUUCGAGUGUAAGUGCACAAGGGAGCUUGACUGUGAGAGUGACAACUCGAGCAGGGACGAAAGUCGGAACUAGUGAUCCGGCGCUGGCAUGUGGAAGCGGCGUCGCUCAACGGAUAAAAGGUACCCCGGGGAUAACAGGCUGAUCUUCCCCAAGAGUCCAUAUCGACGGGAUGGUUUGGCACCUCGAUGUCGGCUCGUCGCAUCCUGGGGCUGGAGUAGGUCCCAAGGGUUGGGCUGUUCGCCCAUUAAAGCGGCACGCGAGCUGGGUUUAGAACGUCGUGAGACAGUUCGGUCCCUAUCCGCCGCGCGCGCAGGAAACUUGAGAAAGGCUGUCCCUAGUACGAGAGGACCGGGAUGGACGAACCUCUGGUGUGCCAGUUGUUCCGCCAGGAGCACGGCUGGUUAGCUACGUUCGGAAGUGAUAACCGCUGAAUGCAUCUAAGCGGGAAGCACGUUUCAAGAUGAGGUUUCCCACCGGGUUAACCGGGUAAGGUCCCCAGUAGACUACUGGGUUGAUAGGCCGGAGGUGUACAGCAGCAAUGCCUAGCCGACCGGUACUAAUAGACCGAGGGCUUGUCCCU
rnacentral:rRNA from 1 species